rnacentral:rRNA from 1 species
UACGGGGGGGGCAAGCGUUGUUCGGAAUUACUGGGCGUAAAGGGCUCGUAGGUGGCCAACUAAGUCGGACGUGAAAUCCCUCGGCUUAACCGGGGAACUGCGUCUGAUACUGGAUGGCUUGAGUUCGGGAGAGGGAUGCGGAAUUCCAGGUGUAGCGGUGAAAUGCGUAGAUAUCUGGAGGAACACCGGUGGCGAAGGCGGCAUCCUGGACCAACACUGACGCUGAGGAGCGAAAGCCAGGGGAGCAAACGGG